GAAGCCAGGUCGAAGGCACAAUAUGCCGACCGUGCUUGCACGGAGAGGCAUUUGUAUCUGAGACCGGCCGACUAUGAGGAAGCAGCCAUUUUCGCAGAAAAUGCGCGAAUUCCGAAUAGGCGGAGGAUUGCGAGAGCUGCCAUCGGCAGCGUAGCAAUCCGAUGGC
rnacentral:sRNA from 1 species